rnacentral:rRNA from 1 species
GACGAACGCUGGCGGCGUGCCUAACACAUGCAAGUCGAGCGCAGGAAACUGACGGAACUCUUCGGAGGGAGGGCAGUGGAAUGAGCGGCGGACGGGUGAGUAACACGUAAGGAACCUGCCUCAAGGAUUGGGAUAACUCCGAGAAAUCGGAGCUAAUACCGGAUAGUUCAUCGGACCGCAUGGUCCGUUGAUGAAAGGCGCUCCGGCGUCACCUUGAGAUGGCCUUGCGGUGCAUUAGCUAGUUGGUGGGGUAACGGCCCACCAAGGCGACGAUGCAGAGCCGACCUGAGAGGGUGAUCGGCCACACUGGGACUGAGACACGGCCCAGACUCCUACGGGAGGCAGCAGUAGGGAAUCUUCCACAAUGGACGAAAGUCUGAUGGAGCAACGCCGCGUGAGUGAUGAAGAUUUUCGGAUCGUAAAACUCUGUUGUAAGGGAAGAACACGUACGAGAGGGAAUGCUCGUACCUUGACGGUACCUUACGAGAAAGCCACGGCUAACUACGUGCCAGCAGCCGCUGUAAUAC